UCACUUGGAAAAUCGACAAACUAAACUGGGAUGGUAUUUCUUUGAGCAAUAACAUGUACGUGUCACAUAAGCAUGUGUCUUUCCCAAAUAGAACCAAAGCUUUGGAGGUAGCUAUGUGACUAUCUCACGCCAUGCAUGCUGCCUGGGAUAUAUAUCUUCGAUAUCUAUUAAUGAUUUAAUUUCAGGAAAUUUGAGAGUUUAGUUUGGAGAAGUGAGCAGUGACCACGGAGAUCAUAGAAAAUUAUCUGCUCUUUAUAGCUUUGGAUGAAGGCUACCUUCUUUGCUUUUAUUUGGAGGAGGAGUGCGUGCUUUACGAGAUAGGUUCUUGUGUGUCAUCUGUGCUAGCCUCAAACUUACAAGGAUCCUUCAGCCUCAGCCUCCCGAGGGCUAGGAUUAUAUCCUGGACUUCCGUGUCAAGGUUUCUGUGAUGCCUUUGUUGGAGAGACUGUAAGAGAAUAUUUUCAAGUGGCCGUCAUGAAACACUGGGAGCAAACCAAAGCAAAGGGGGAGAGAGAGCAAGAGGUAAAGCAGAUCCCUGGAUACUCAAAUGAGUUAGUCCAGAAACGGAGUGAGGCUUGGCUGAUGGCAUUUCGACAUCCCCACCUUUGCCACCGCCAGCCCUGUAUACAUCAGGGAGAGCCUGCUGCUUGAAGGGCUUAUCAAGCUGACCCAGCCAUCCUGAGUCAGAAACUGCCAACAUCUUCCUGGGUGGCUUUGCAUCGGCCUCUUCUUGCUUUCCCUUAGUCGUCAGCUGCCAAGCUCAGAGUCUCCAGUUACUUCCGCUCUGACAGUACACAGAGUUAUCUGCAUCCUUCUCGUAUUACCAUCUGUCGCCUGGAAUUGGUUUCCCUGCCUGGAGAAAUCCCUUUCAUACAUCUUUUGGAGGAGUCUCUAUCCGACACUUUUGACCUGUUAUUCCUGGGAGAUUUUUUCAACAGUAGAAGCUGUCACUAUGAGGCAAG
rnacentral:sRNA from 1 species